rnacentral:rRNA from 1 species
GACGAACGCUGGCGGCGUGCUUAACACAUGCAAGUCGAACGGAAAGGCCCCUUUGGGGGUACUCGAGUGGCGAACGGGUGAGUAACACGUGAGUAACCUGCCCUUGACUUCGGGAUAACUUCAGGAAACUGUGGCUAAUACCGGAUAGGAAUCCUUGCUGCAUGGUGGGGGUUGGAAAGCUUCGGCGGUUUUGGAUGGACUCGCGGCUUAUCAGCUUGUUGGUGGGGUAGUGGCUUACCAAGGCUUUGACGGGUAGCCGGCCUGAGAGGGCGACCGGCCACAUUGGGACUGCGAUACGGCCCAGACUCCUACGGGAGGCAGCAGUGGGGAAUAUUGCACAAUGGGCGGAAGCCUGAUGCAGCAACGCCGCGUGCGGGAUGACGGCCUUCGGGUUGUAAACCGCUUUCAGCAGGGGCGAAGCUUGUGGUGACGGUACCUGCAGAAGAAGCACCGGCUAACUACGUG